rnacentral:misc_RNA from 1 species
GAUGAAGAACGUAGCGAAAUGCGAUACGUAAUGUGAAUUGCAAAUUCAGUGAAUCAUCGAGUCUUUGAACGCACAUUGCGCCCCCUGGUAUCCCGGGGGGCAUGCCUGUCCGAGCGUCAUUGCUGCCCUCAAGCACGGCUUGUGUGUUGGGCCCCGUCCUCCGAUCCCGGGGGACGGGCCCGAAAGGCAGCGGCGGCACCGCGUCCGGUCCUCGAGCGUAUGGGGCUUUGUCACCCGCUCUGUAGGCCCGGCCGGCGCUUGCCGAUCAACCCAAAUUUUUAUCCAGGUUGACCUCGGAUCAGGUAGGGAUACCCGCUGAACUUAAGCAUAUCAAUAAGCGGAGGA